rfam:Oryza sativa Japonica Group DNA, chromosome 4, cultivar: Nipponbare, complete sequence.
CACAACCGUAGUUGUGGAUUUCAGGGCCUAACUUUGAUCGUCCGUCUUAUUUAAAAUAUUUUUAUGAUUAGUAUUUUUAUUGUUAUUAGAUGAUAAAAUAUGAAUAGUACUUUAUGCGUGAUUUAACUUUUAAAAUUUUUUCAUAAAUUUUUCAAAUAAGACAGACGAUUAAAUAUUGAGUACGAAAAUUUAUGGCGACACUUAUA